rnacentral:rRNA from 1 species
UACGAAGGGGGCGAGCGUUGUUCGGAUUUACUGGGCGUAAAGGGCGCGCAGGCGGCGAUUUUUGUCAGGCGUGAAAGCCCCGGGCUCAACCUGGGAACUGCGUUUGAUACGGGAUUGCUAGAGAUCGGGAGAGGAGAGUGGAAUUCCCAGUGUAGAGGUGAAAUUCGUAGAUAUGCGGAGGAACACCGGUGGCGAAGGCGGCCAUCUGGACGACUACUGACGCUGAGACGCGAAAGCGUGGGGAGCAAACAGG